CGUACAAAAUGUGUGAGGGCAUGCGAGGGCUGUUGCUGACCUCAAGGUCGUGCACGCCGGAGUGUGUCCUCUCACAUAACAAUCCAUCUCACCCUUUGUGCACCACCGCGUGGGCACCCUUCGGGAUCGGACCGAUCUCGGAGGGGGUUCACGUUUUCACACAAAACACCCCCCCUUUAAAAAGUGUAGAAUGACCUCGUUUAUGCAAUCAAUACAACUUUCAACAACGGAUCUCUUGGCUCUCGCAUCGAUGAAGAACGCAGCGAAAUGCGAUACGUAAUGUGAAUUGCAGAAUUCAGUGAAUCAUCGAAUCUUUGAACGCACCUUGCGCCCCUUGGUAUUCCGAGGGGCACACCCGUUUGAGCGUCGUGAAAAUCUCAACCUCCUUUGUUUCUUCCGAGGACCACAGGAGGCUUGGACUUUGGAGGUUUUUGCUGGCGUCUUUGAAGGCCAGCUCCUCUUAAAUGAAUUAGCGGGGGUCCUCUUUGCCGAUCCUUGACAUGUGAUAAGAUGCUUCCGUGUCUUGGUUUCUGGCUCUGUUGCCUUUGGGACCCGCUUCUAACCGUCUUGACCUUGCGUCGAGACAACGUUCGAGCUCGUGUCUCCCUUCUCGGGAAACCCCCUCGACCCCACGAACCCUUGGCCUCAAAUCGGGUGAGACUACCCGCUGAACUUAAGCAUA
rnacentral:rRNA from 1 species